rnacentral:hammerhead_ribozyme from 1 species
AUCCACAUGACGAGUCCCAAAUAGAACGAAAUGCGCAUCCUGGAU